rnacentral:lncRNA from 1 species
AUCUUUGAACUGCUUGGUUGUGACAAGCCGCGCGUUGCUAUCAUUUUCACCCGUAUUUUGUAUACGAGUCUCCCUCGUCUGAUUUUGCAUGACCUGUAAAAAGCUUCUAAACAUUCCACCAUUCAUCAUUUAUUGGGUAGUGUUGUUUACAGGAGGAACAUUGUCGUCCUAUUUCACGUUCUCCUGGUUGGUGAUUAAAGGUGUUUCCACAGUCUCAUUCACUCCAUUGUUAACAUUUCCAGCUGCCAUUCUCAAAUACUACCACAAAAAAAGGGUUAAUUAAAAAAAAUGACAGACCACAUAAUACCCCUAUAUUCUGACCAACCAAUAAAUAAGCUUAGGUAGGACACACUAGCGAAGGAUUUACUCGUCUCUCCCCUCUUAGUUCUAUUCCCCAAUCUCCGCCAAAGACCAUAUCCCUAAGCUCUGAUACCAACUGUGACGCCCCCAAAAUAGGUAUACAUCACCCAUCUUGGGUCGCCAAAAAUAUGGUACAGAAAAUAACUACAACUUUAUUAUUACAAUUGUCGUGAAAAAUACAACAACACAUAUACUGUGAGUUUAAAUACAAAUAUUGUCUUCUAGACAAUAUCCACACUCAAAUAAGUCCUCAUUACAAUUAUUGAUACACUAUUUUACAAAAAUAGUGAGGACUGCUAAAACAAUUGACUAGAACCAUCAUUCCAUACCCGACUAGUUCCCGCUAUAUUCUAGCUCGGCUACUGAGACGAAAAAUAGAACAAAAAGGAAAAGGGUGAGCUCAACUAGCCCAGUAAAGAAUAUUAUGACUAAGAUAAUGAAUAAAAAAUUAUCGUUAGCUUUCAACAAAUCAGAUAAAAUAUAAUGGACAACAAAUUUUAGAUCAAUAUUCGCAGCGGAAAUAAAAAUUCAUUAGAAGAGUUUAGUAGAGAAUAAAAUCUACUGUCUUCUAUGAUUUAAAAGUCCAUCAUCAAUAUUUUAUCCCUGUAACAUCAAUCAAUAUAUAUCUUGAACCAAAUAUUCAUCUUUGCUUCAUGGGCCAAAGAUAUUAAUUUGUAUCAAUAGUUGGUCAUGUUUAUCUCAACACCUGUCCAUCUUUGCACUACGGGCCAAAGAUAUUCAUCAGGAAAUCAUUCAUCUUUGCACUAAAGGUCAAAGAUAUUCAUCAAGUAUCACCAUUAAAGACUGAGGAUGAUGAACAAUAUUUUAAAGAACGAAUCCAUUGAGAUAAAAGGACAAGGAUUAGGGAUUCGUACUUUAGAUAAUCCAAAGUUCAAAUAUACUCCAUAAUAAACCAUAUUGGAGUAAAAUUCAAAAAUGAAGAUCAAAACAUAGAUACAAUCAAAGUUAGUAACCAUAAUAGACAUCUGGAGCAAAGAAGAGAAAAUUUAAUUUUUCGGUGAAUAGUAUCGUAUACGUAAAUAGUAACCCUGACACGAAAAGGUUGAAAUUCCACAAGAAAAAUCAUACUUCGUGAACAGUACUCGUGAAUAGUACCGUAUUCGUGAAUAGUACCGUAUACGUGAAUAGUAACCUUGACAUGAAAAGGUAAAAAUUUCAUAAUAAAAUUCAUACCAAUAUUUCGGUAUAAUGAUAUUGAAAGAAAUAACAUCAUUUACGAAGAAAAUAAUAUCCUUUACCUCAAAAGAACAGUACUUUUGACUAGAAUAUCGGAUAUAAUGUUGAAGAAAACUUGCAUUGAAUAGCAACUCUCAAAAUAUCUAAAUACUCACAAAAAUACGCUCAAUAUUAUAGAGAGAAAAUUUCUGAUUCUGGUGUGAUUUUCAAUUCUAACCUAAGCACCCUAUUUAUAGAAAAAUGUCAGAAUGCCAAAGGAGACUUAACCUGCUAUCGAUGGCUAAUUCAUCUUUGCCAUUCAAGCACGCCACUUUUGAAAUUCAAUUUCAGGACAUUUCACCAAUAAAG